GUCCAAGUCCCUAUAGCCCAGCCUCAGCCCUAACUCCUGCUGUCUCCCCCAGUCCAAGUCCCUAUAGCCCAGCCUCAGCCCUAACUCCUGCUGUCUCCCCCGGUCCAGGUCCCUAUAGCCCAGCCUCAGCCCUAACUCCUGCUGUCUCCCCCAGUCCAAGUCCCUAUAGCCCAGCCUCAGCCCUAACUCCUGCUGUCUCCCCCAGUCCAAGUCCCUAUAGCCCAGCCUCAGCCCUAACUCCUGCUGUCUCCCCCGGUCCAGGUCCCUAUAGCCCAGCCUCAGCCCUAACUCCUGCUGUCUCCCCCAGUCCAAGUCCCUAUAGCCCAGCCUCAGCCC